CUCCAAGUCCAGCCCUCUUCUUCAGGGAAACUUCGCUCCUCACUGUGCUUCAAGAUGACCUUUGGCUUCAAACAAAAAUUCUUUUAGGUUUACUGCGGCACAUCGGACCGGCAGGCUCUCUGGACUGGCCAAGCCCUUUCUUGCUC
rnacentral:lncRNA from 1 species